AACAAACGCUGGCGGCGUGCCUAAUACAUGCAAGUCGAACGGGGAAAGCUUUCGGGUGAGUACUAGUGGCGCACGGGUGAGUAACGCGUGGAUAAUCUGCCUUAGAGUGGGGGAUAACUAGUCGAAAGAUUAGCUAAUUCCGCAUAAGACCACAAGAACUGCGGUUCAAGGGGUCAAAGGUUUUUCGCUCUAAGAUGAGUCCGCGUAAGAUUAGCUAGUUGGUAGGGUAACGGCCUACCAAGGCGACGAUCUUUAACUGGUCUGAGAGGAUGAUCAGUCACACUGGAACUGGGAAACGGUCCAGACUCCUACGGGAGGCAGCAGUAGGGAAUAUUGCACAAUGGAGGAAACUCUGAUGCAGCGACGCCGCGUGAGUGAUGAAGGCCUUCGGGUCGUAAAGCUCUGUCGCAGGGGAAUAACACAAUGAAGGUACCCUGUAAGAAAGGAUCGGCUAACUUCGUGCCAGCAGCCGCCGUAACAC
rnacentral:rRNA from 1 species